AGCAGAGUGGCUCAGUGGAAAGAACACGGGCUGGGAAGUCAGAGAUCAUGGGUUCACAUCCCAGCUCUGCUG
rnacentral:tRNA from 1 species